rnacentral:rRNA from 1 species
GACGAACGCUGGCGGCGUGCCUAAUACAUGCAAGUCGAACGAACCGCUACGAGGUGCUGGCACUCGGUUAAGGUGAGUGUCGAACGGUUGAUUUACACGCGGGUAACCUACCUCAUACUUGGGGAUAACAGUCGUAAACUACUGCGACUACCGCAUAGGACAUAGGAUCUCAGCAUGCAUAGAGUAAACUAGUCGCAAGCGUUCGCGAAGAAAUGGACCCGCGGUGUAUUAGCUAGUUGGUAGGUUAAAGGCCUACCAAGGCGAUGAUGCAUAGCCGACCUCAGAGGGUGAACGGCAAGCUUGGGACAGAGAAACGGCAGACACUCCUACGGGAGGACGCAGUACGGAAUCUUACGCAAGGGACGAAAGUCUGACGGAGCACAGCCGCGUGAGUGAAGAAGGUCUUAGGAUGCUAAAGCUAUGUUGUUCGUAAAGAACAGCACCUAGAUCACCUGUUAUGCGUGUGACGGUAUCUAGACAAAAAGCCACGGCUAACUCCGUG